CUUCAAACGAUGGGCUUGUCUAUGUGGUGUCUCCAGGAUAGACAGCCCUGCCUGGAUGUAUUUUUAUGUUUUAGUGAUUUUUUAUAGCUUAAAGCAUGAGGAACAAUUCCUGGAGAUCCAUGGGCAGGAUGUGAGCCCACUGCCUGGGGGUGGUCUGCUGUCCCCUCUCUUGGGGACAGCUGGGGCUGACUCACCCCAGAGCAAGACCCGGCCUUGGCCAUGGAGCACAAGACACGAAGAGUCACUUGACAUGGAAAUGGAGCAGUCUGGAAGGUGGAGUCUUCCUAGGGGAGGCCCUUGAUUUUCCAUCUCUCCUUUUUUCUUUUCUUGAAUAUCAGCCCUGAAAUUUCCACAGAGGUCAGGAAAUGACACACACGUGCAUUGUUGCCACCUCCAGAGGGAAUGGGGAGGCAGCUCCUGGCAGCGACCCAGCAGCAGUGAGCACGCACUUUUGGGAAGAGCAUUAUCUCACUGCUCAAUGGCCCCUUGCAGAGGAAAGCAAGUUGCUUUUCUCCUCCUAAUGCCAGCUCCUUCACUGUAGCACCAGGAAAGCACUGCUAAACAGUAGUCAUGGCGAAUCUCUUCUUUGGAAGCACAGAAAGUUGAAACAAAUAUAUUGUUUGAGAGGCAGCCAGCCCCAGGGUGGCAUUUCGGGGGAGAUUUCAGAGGGCAGCCACCCUUCUCCCAUUCCCCAUCAGCAUCACACCAGCAUGUCUUGCAGAAAGGUACUAGGUAUCUGGAUGCUGGCACCCAAUGAUCCCACCCACAGUUUCAUUUGAGGCUGAUGGAGAGGAUACCUCAGGAAGGGUUAUUUUGUUUUUUCCAUAACCAAGGGAGAUGCUUUGCAAACGUGACAGCUCAUGUUGGCACACCAAGAAGUGCCCUUCAAGGUGUUUUCCUGCUCUCCACAAUUGCUCAACACGACAGAGCUUUCUCUGACGGCUAUAUUAGUGCAUACUUACAUGUUGACAGUUCAUUUCCAGCCUCAGAUGGUCAACACCAAGGAAUUCCUCCUGGCCGUGGUUUGCAUUCUGUGGGCAGCUGUGCAGCCAAGGAGGGUUUUCUCAAACAUGAGCCCAUUCUCACAUUUUCUGACCUCCUAAAGCUGUGAAAGGCAUAAAUUCUGUGUGUCUUCAAUUAACCGUGGGCAUAAUUAAUGAACCCUUUUCCCCAACUUCACCCUAAUAUAAAGGCUCUCUGGCUCUUCUUAGGUUGUUUCCUUUCUAGUUCCUCUGAUUCCCCUCCUUCUCUGAUUAUAGCUAAAUUCACUCCCAUUCUUCCAUCAUAUGGAUGGCAAUUGAGCUCUCCCAAACCUCAAGGUGGGACUAAAUCUCUCCACCUGUCAUGAGAAAGUGUUGUUCCCUUUCUUCCCUGCCCUGCUUUGCUGUUUUUCCUCCUUCUGAAUACCAUUUGUGAUAUCUGAGAUACAACAGAGAGAGCUCAUUUCCAACUCCCCUUUUAAAUAACAGAGCUCAAUGUUGAAUAAAAAGACACUUUCUCCUGUAAGCAACAGCAACGGGGUAGCAACAGAGUUCUGCAGGAGAUGAGCUCUGCAGUGGGAGGUCAGAUGUUUCAUCAAACCAAAUCCAGUAGACACUGAACAAAACUUGAGUGGCUUUGAGGUUCGGUGUCCUUCUAAAUCCUUUUAUUUUUCCCAAUCAAGGCAGGGGAAAAGAGCCAUUUGUUAGAAAAAUAGUGUCAGAGAAGUUACAGAUGACAUUUGCCAAUGUUAUACCAUCAAAGCAAAAUCUCUGUCAGAUCUGUAAACAAUAACUUUUCACACAAAUGUCUACAGAGCCUCGGGUGUGUGCCUUUCAGCACGGCGUUCUUACAUCAUGCAUUCAUGGCAAGGGGAAGAGGCACCAUUGCCUCUCCCCAUUCUGCAUAUCCAAGGGUCAGGCACAUUUGAAUUCAGAUAAAAGAAGAACUUCAGGUAUUGUGAAUAUAUUCCACCAAGUUUUGUGCAAUGAGCUUACAUCCAUUUGCCAUAUUUCUUUCCUAAUGGUGCAUUUCCCACUCAUCUUCUUGUUCCUGACUCACUGAAAUCUUAAACAAAAUACUUCCAUCCAAGCUUUUGGAACAGAAUAAAUACCUACAUGCACUGUGUGCAAACCUGCACUGCUAUUACAUGAGCCACGCUGAAAACACAACUCUGGGUCAUCCUUCCAACUUCUGGUGGUGCUUCUCCCAGUUUUGCAGGAUACACCAUCCCAGCCUAUUCCUAAGAGUUGAGAUUUUGUUGUAUUGCUUUAUUUUAUUUUAUUUUAUUUUAUUUUAUUUUAUUUUAUUUUAUUUCAUUUCAUUUCAUUUCAUUUCAUUUCAUUUUUUGCCCAGGGAUGAGUGUUUUUAAGCUUCCAAUGAUUUGCAGAAGGAUGUGAUGCCUCACAGUAUUAGAUCAGGCAUUUCCUGAAGGAUUUUCUGGGCACUAGAGAGACCAUGUGAGAAAUUCUGCUCAACUGCUGUUGAAGUAACAGGGCCUACACAACAGUAGAUUUUCACUUCUAUAUUUAUAGCAAAAUGGAAACAAAAUGUGCUUUGAAGUAAACAGCACAAUCACUGGAGAACCCACCAAUAAAAAACACACCAGCACUGUCAGAUAACUCAGCCCCUUUAAAGACUGAAACCACUGCCAGGUACGCGGUAGCUGAAGGACAUCUAUGCCAAGAAUUUGAUGUCAUCACACUGUUUUUUGUUCCUUCUCCCUCCCCGUCAUACAAAGAAGGUGAUGAAGCAUCAUGACCACAAGCUGCGUCAUCCGGAGUGUUUGCUCUGUGUGCAUUUUGGUUGCAUCAAUACAGGGAACAUCCUGAGGGCAGGAGGGAGCCCAGUACUUGAACUAAGCUGAACUGAGAGAAAAGGACAGGAGGGAGGUGUUGGAUCUGUUCAAGUUGGACACUGGGGGAUUUAUUUUUGGAAGAGACUCUUUGUGAAGGAGCAGAUCCUCUCUAGAAGUCCUUGGUAGCAGGAAUGACUUAAAAUCCCCCUUUGAUUCCUAACUUUAUUUGACUCUAGUGAGCCUCUUCCCUUGUCCCAGAGGAAGGCAAAAACUUCCACACAUAAAACCCACUCUGCAUAGAUGAAAACAUCAGAGAAAAAAAAAUCUAAUAACAAAAAAAAGGAAACUGGCAAUUUCACAAGGUUAGGAUGACCCACAGUGAGGCUGACCACGCAUCACACCUGCAGAAGGACGGAACGGGGAACCAUGACCAGACCCAGGACACAUCUGCCUUAUUGCUUCAUGAUGUCCUCUUACUCAUCUGUCUGAUGCUUUAAUGCCUCCUGGACUUUCCAGUGUGACUUAAACUGAGGCUGGGGUAUGGGGUAUGGCAUCACUGGAGCGUUCCCAUGAACCUGGACGUCAUCACCCAACACUGCCACGUUGGCAGAUCCAUGAGCUGGAGGGGUAUGGGAAGUAUGACUCAGGUCACCUGCCUUCCUACAUGCAAGCUUGAAGUCAUAAUAUGAGAAAACAGCAGAGAAAGCAGCACAGCCGCUGGUCAGCAGAGAGCUUUGCAUGCAAAGAGCCACUUGAGCUGCCCAGGCUCAAUGCCCAGAGCCCCACGUCCCCAUCCCUGUGCAGCCCCACAACACGAGUGAGUGAUGAUGCAGGCUCCCCAAGCUUCAGGGCAUGCUAAAUUGAGAUGUGCAUUUAUUAUGGUAAAAAAUGUGGGAAAUAGGAAGGGUUGUGAUUUCCCAAAUUACUUUUCUUCUCACUAACAGCAGCUGGCAGCAAAUAUAUUUAAAAUGUAAAUAUUUAAAUACUCACUAGCAAGCACAAUUACCUUUUUUUUUUUCUUGUUCACCACUCAACCCAUUCAGAGCCUAUAAAUACCCACUAAGGAAGCAAGCGUCUAUGCCGCUUUUGGGGAGCAAUCUGAAAAUCCUCAUUAAUUGACAUGGCUUAGUCAUUAGUGGUGAGGAUGGGCAUAGAACAUGGGCUUAGGUGGGUUUUUUUCCCUCUGUGUUUUAGAAGAGAUAAUGUGUGGCUAUGGAAUAAAACGCUGUGAUUCGUGACACAGAAAAUGAUCGCGGUGUCCAAAGAGGACGAUGCUUGUUUAUAGCACACGGAUUAGCGCCGCGAGGUUCCUUUAUGUUUCCCUGCGACUUCUUCUCCCUGUGAAACAACCCCACCAAACGCCUGAGAAAUGAACAUGCUUCAGCCUUUCUAUUUAUUUUCAUGAGCUGAAAGCAAGGGAAAAGCUCCUGCCAGCAAGCAAGGUGGAGGAGAAAGCAUUGCAGCUUCUUUCACCCACGCUGGCUGUAAAAUGUACAGAAAUGUAAAGCCAUAAAAUUUUUAUGAGGGGUUGUUUUUAUAAUGUUUACCAACCUCAUGCCUCUAUGACGCUUUCCAGCAGAUAGCGGUUUAAUAGGGCUCCUAUCUCCCAACCGAGAUAACCGUGAGGGAGAGCUCGGCUCUGUUUGCAGCAGCGUGGAGCUGCCCGUGCUCUGUGGUUUUGCAGUGCUUUCACCCAAUUUCAGCCCCUUUCGCUUUGGUAGAGGUCAGAUAUAACGUGGAACCUUUGCCUCUGAUUAAGAAUUAAAAGCUGGAGGUGGGAAAGGAAUGCUCGAAAAGUGUUUCUUAAGAAAACAGCUAGGUUGCUGGUAGCGCUAUUAGUUUUGUUGCUAAUUAAAACAAAGUUGAGUUUGGUCUGACAGUUCCUCUGAGCGGCGAUUCUGUAAAGAAUCCCAUUAUGGGAAAUGGCCUGCUGUAUUUUCCUAAAUUUAACCAAUUUAUCUCUGCGACCCCUCCAAAGAGCAGCUCCAGGGGCAGAGAAUAUCCCCUUUUCAUAAAAGAACUGUUUAUUAGCCCAAGGUUCAUCCCCUGAUUUAUCGAUUUGGAUUUGCAACGCGCAAUGGGCCGGGUGCGCAGCACACCAGUGUGCCUGUCGUAUGUUCCCAGCUGACGUGUUUACAAUAUUUUUGAUUUACACCUUCCAGGUGUUCUUUUGGAAAAUAUCACCACCUUCAGUUUACACAUUUUUUACAAUAUAUUUGUGGCCAUCGGCGAGCUUCCACAUUUAUUACGGAGGAUGUGCCAAGAAGGAGGGCUUUUAUUUUCUUUAACUUGCUGGCAAGAUAUAGAUUUUUGGCUUUUAGAAAAACAGGAUUGAUUGACUGAAGGAGUAAAACCCCCAAAGUAUGUAUUUGGGAUGAGACGUGGUUAUUUGCUCAGGGCAAGGAGCUGGUUGUCAGGCUGGGGCUCCGCUGUGCCGAUCUCAAUCACUCCAUAAGAAGCUCAUCUUCACCAUAAAAUGGUGAAAAAUGGCUGCUGAGGUUCUGCAUCCUUAUGUUUUUUGGAAUUACAACAAUCACCAGCACACAGAAAAUCUGUGACACAGGGAGAGACUGAAAGGGGUCGAUGCACACGGCCGUGUUUUGCAGUGCAAAGCUUUGUGAGUAACCCAAUAAAUGAACCCGAUACACCAAAUUCUGUCACUGCUGAAACGGUGCAGAUAAAGUCACCCUCCUGCUUUUUUGUUUCAUUUUCUGUAUGUUUAAUAUAGAAUUUAAAUGCCACGUUAUCAACGCCAUUUAAUUUCAGGAGUGGCUGCCAGAAGGCUCAGAAGGAGAAACUGUCAUUAAUUAGUGGUGCAAAGUAACUUCAGAAGUUAUUUUUUUUAUUAUUCAGAAGGAAAAAUACUCUGUUUGCACUGUGAGAAUGCUCCGAUGCUGUCCUUGAGCACCGAGAAUUUCUCUUUCAGUGUGGUCAGUAAACACUGCAUUUUGCUAUUUGCCUUUUUUCCCACACCGUGGCAAAACAUCAUUAGUAUUUCAUGACCACAUUUCAGCAACGUUAUUUAAAAAAUACAGAUUUUAUUACACAAGGAGCCCAAUCCUCCAGUAUCUUUCCCAGAUAAAUAUGCAUGAGGAUACAUGGGACCUCUACCUGCAAAGAAAGGCAACUUCGAAGCAUUACCUGCUGCUCCCACUGCUUUUGUUACUGAAGCUCUUUGCUGAUUUAAUUUGAUUUUCAUCACGCUGUUAGCCAGGUGUGGGCUGGGGGCUGUGGUUGACACUGGGUCAGAAAUGUGAACCAUGUGGAGAAGCUGUUGGGAAAAAUGAAGCAAGAAGUGCAUAGUGUGUGUCACCCCACAGCUCAGGUGCGGUCCAAAGACCUCCGGCUUUAUCCCAUUUUAAGGUCAUAUUAUCAGCCUCUGUGCCGCAUGAGGCUGAAAAGAAGGAAAUAAAAAUAACAGAAUCACAGAAUGGCUUGGGUUGGAAGGCACCUCAAGGAUCAGCAAAAGUAUUGAUUAAUGGAAGGGAACGAAUCUCUGCCUUAUGUGUGCUGAAAUUGUGCGUUGGGCAACAGCGUGAAAAUCUACCAAUGCAGAUUAAUCUCCCCUUCUUUGCUCCGAGAUCACAAACAUCAGUGUUUGAAAGGUCCCCAGUUCAGCAUUCUUUGUGUUUGAUGGACACAAACACCAAGCGCUGAGCUGCGGCUCCCUAAGACCUUUUCUUCCACAUUCCCCGCUGGAGUCCAUCUCCAUAAGCACAAAAUCUCACAAUUCUAUGGUAAACAUUGGCUUAUAUUGCCGAGGUGACUUUACUUGGUGUUAGCAAGCAAAUCCAGUGAUUGCAGGACGGCGGUUAUUCCGCUGAUUUAAAAAAAAAAUAAGCGAAUACAUAACUUGGCCCCAAAGCCAGGAGAAAAGACGUGACAGUUGUCGAUGCCGGGUAAAGGGGCAGGCAGAUUAGCAGCCUUAUUUUUUAACAUAUAAACAUCUGAGACCCGUUUCCUGUUAAAAAAAAAAAAGAGAGAGAACUUAGGUGGAUGACCUCAGGCAGGAUUUUUUUUUAUUAGCAAACGUGAAUUGUACAUCACCAUGGAAAAAAAAAAAUAGGCCAGUCUUGGUGGUCUCGAUCCGCUCUGGAUACGGGAGAGCGAGAGAGAGAAAGGGGAGGAAAAAAAAUACAUAUAUAUAGAAAAAUAAACUUUACCUUCUCGCUUUCAGGGUGGGCAAUGCCAUUUCGGCUUCGGGGUCUUCGGCUCUGGGAAGUGUUAGCGCUGUCACCGCCGCACCACCGCACCGCUGCAAGGGAAAACAUUCCCCGCAUUCCUCCUCCUCUCUCUGCUAUCCGCGGAUCCGUGCGCUGCAGGUUCACGUUGCUACCGUCCGACUGCAUGGGACACAGCUAAUCUAAACCAGCGCCGACCCACCAUCCGACUCGGCAGCGAGGAAAAACAUUGACAAAUUUGCUGUUUAAAAUGCUUUCUACUCUUUCCAGUGUUUUGUUGUGCUUUUUUUUUUUUUUUUAAAGCUAUAAAUACACCCCGCCAGCUGCAACAUGUUGCACGAAGCCAGCUUUGCGGAUCAAGCGUCUUCUGACACAACGCCUUGCACUGGCGUUGGGUUAAUAUUUGAUACUGGGAGUCAACGUUGUGAUAUUUCUGUCCUUAGCGGUGACGAUGGUGUGGUUCUCCCGUGUUGCUCUGCAGAAAGAGCUUGGAAAAGGCACAGCGUAAGGGCAGAACAGUCUCAAGCAUCUGCUUAGUUAUUGCAGCAUGAAAAUAAAACUAAGAACAAAAAGACAGCUAUCUCUUAAGGUAGUGCAUAAUUCAAGCUAAGGCAAUGAUUACAUAUGAGAACUUUGGCAAGCGCAUAAUCAUUAAAUUCCCUUCUUUUUUCCCAGUGUGUUGGGCUGGGGAGUGUGCAGGACACUAUGAUUCCUCAUGGGCUUCUGUUAUAGGGUCGGAGAGGUUCACACUGAAGCAGAACCUCAACCCAAGCAAGAGGCAGCACAGGCUGGAUGUGAUUUUGCCUGUGCAUUCUAGCAGAUUGGAAGAUUUUUGGUCAGCUAAGCCCAUUCCCACUGCAUUUCUGAGAAAUUGCAGGUCUAUUAAUUUACAAUGGAAUGCAUCAUUAAAAUGUAUAUAUAAAAUGUGUAUACAGUAUAUAUAUAUAAUGCAUAAAUAAAAAGUCUGCUUUGCAGACUGCAAUACAGCACUUACCCACCCAUCGGUACCAUGAACUGUGGAUCAAGCCCACAAUUUGUAGCAACGCGGCACCAAAAUUGCCCUUUUUCACCCAAAAAGACAGCAUCCAGGGCACCGUCUGUGGGCGGACAUCCUGCCAUGCCCUCACACCGUUCCCCACAAAUGCCAGGAGUUAUUUUGGUUAAUGAGAAAUCCCCCAAAUUCGGCUUCUGCGGCUAAUUGUAGCCGUGGUUGCUCUCCGCUUGAUGGUCCGGCUCCUGCCCCGUGAAACCCGAGCUCUCAGGGGAUACAACGGGUGUGAUUGCAAACCUAUAGAAGCGCUCAUUUACAGACACCACUGGAGCAGGCAGCUUGCAGAGCGUCGGACUCAUUGGCGGUGCACUCCUUCAGAAAUCACAAUUUUCGGACGGGAAGAAUUGAAGAAUUUGGACAACAGAAGACAAACAGUUGCUGUCAGAGUGAGUGGAAAAAGAACCACAUGGCGUGCUCUGGCCAUUAAUAAUCUGCAUUGGCGUGGAGAUCUGUCUGCCAUCGCAUGCAGCACACUGCUACCUCCCAGUUUUUCUUGUUCCUUGGGCUUUCUCCCACUUGCUGAUUUUAUUUACGGAGGAUUUUUAUUUUUAGUUAGGGAGAGAAAGGCAGGAAAAUGAAAAAAUUGGGCUCUUGACACUAAAAUCUUAUGCCAAACUUCCAGCAGCCCAGGGAAAUCAACUUCUUGUCCAAAUCCCAUCGGGAAAGGUUGAACUUGGGGACAUUGUGGUGAGGAGGGAAAAUCGCUUUCUGCUGCUUUUCUCCAAGAAAAAAAAAACACAUUUAAAUGGUCACUCUUUGUUGAAGACCCGUGUAAAAGCCUGGAGCUUAGCUUUCUUCUCUAGAAAUAACUGCUUUUUUAUGUUGGAUGAGGCUACUUAACCUCAUCCACUGAACUCCUCUGACCAACGCACGUGGUCAGGCUCCCAGGAACACAACAUUUGGCCCUGUUAUGCAUCAAAUUUCAUUUCCAGUCUGUGGAUUUAUUGACGUUAUAAUGGCCAGCCCACACAAACUGCAGCCAUGCAGCCAAUUAACAGGACAGACAACAACAGACAUUUGAGAAGUUGCUAAACUUGGUCUUGAAAACGAGCUCGCUUUAUCCCUGUAAACGGAUCUUGUUCUGUCAUCGUGCAUUAAACUGGAAAGCUUCACGUUGCAAAGUGGUACAAAAUCACAUCCUGAUAACCAAGGCCUCACAGAAUAUUUCAGCAGAUCGUAUCGCUUGUGGUUUUAUUUCAUAACUGCAAUGCAAACGCGAGGGUGGAUUCCAAGACAAAAAUAUCUGCAUAUGCUGAAAUGAAGUUCUCGGUGCAUCAUACUUAAGGUAGCCAGCAGCCAUGGGGGUCUGAUCCAUGAGCAUUUUUCCUCUGCCAAACCCACAAACACAAAAGCAAAACUCCUAGGACCAUGUUUUUCCUCGUCCCAGAUUGAAAUGCAGAGAUCGAAAUCAACUGAAACAUUUUGGGAAAAUCAUGUUGACUUCACCCAACUGUUACCACCAUCAAAGGGCUUUCGAAGGUCACCACCUUUCUUUCUGACAUGAAAUGAAGCAUUGCAGAUAACGCAAUGUAUUUCUUUAUUUUAAAAAAGUUCAAAGGUCCAUUAAGGCUUCCACGUCGUACAAAAGACUUAAUUCACCGGAAGCCAUUUUUCUCUCCCAAUUGUUUGGAGCAGCAAGUGAACCAAACAAUCCGUUAUUCACACAGAUCUACCCAGAAACAUAUUUCCCAUGCCCAAGCCAUCUAUGCUUUGACUUAACAAAAAUAACUUCUAACUGGGCUGUUUUAAAACGCCGAAUUGGUUCGUAUUUGAGAGCUUGGUUGGGAGAUCUGGGUAGAAUUUAUAGCUACCUGUGGUAGGUGGAAACCAAAUUGAGAUGAAGAGCUGUACGAGAAAAUACGUUGAAUCUCUUUGUCCAAAAUUGAGGUCCAUACUUUGUACCUAAAGCUCAUAGCUCCAAGAUGAUGCUUGUCAAAAGACGCAUUAGAAGAGGAGAAUCGGUGUGGACAGACCAUUUUCUGGUGCAAUCAUCUCGUUUUAAGUGAAAUUUCUGCUUUCCCACCAUGCCUUUGGAAAAUAACAGCUUUCGGCGCUUUUGAAGAGCAUGGUUCACUACUCUUACAUCCAGCCUGUCCAAGUUGCCCUGUGUAAUAGCAAUGUUAUUUCCUUUAUAUUAUAAAUAGGAUUUGGGUUGAAUAUGAAUAAACUCAUACCCAUUGGUAUGCUUUGUAACUCUAAUCAGUGCUUUCCUGAAAAAAAAAAAAAAAAAAAAAAAAAAAAAAAAAAAGAAAAAAAAAAGAAAAAGAAAAGAAGAAUGUUUAUCCGAAAAAUAAAGAGGUGCUAAUUUUAUCUUGUGAAAGUGGAUAUCUCCUUACGUCCCUCCAACUUCGAGGAAGAUAACCCGAAUGGAUUAUAUCAUCUAAAUCCAGCAUCCUAUGAGAUCAAACAGAAUAAUGUACACAUAUGCCAAAGAUGAUUGAAGUAUUGCUGGUGCUCACUUCCGCUUCACUAAGUAUGUGUUUCAUUGAUAUACGUAAUUUGCCACCGCCAUGAAAGAAAUUCAAAGUCCUCUGUUUGUGCCAGUUGAUUUCUAUGAUAUCUGGAGGCUUUUAAAAUAGGGAUCCAAAAUAGAUGUGCCCUUGUCACCCCUGUGUUUAAGCUCUCUCCAACAGGAAAUGGCACGGGUUCAAAUUUUUUUUAUACUGGAAGCCACAUGUAGCUAGAUAAGAAUCAUGUCUUGUCUAUGACUAAGCAUUGACAUUUCAAUGUUUAAAAUAUAGUCAAAAUGAUCCAUGGAGAACCCACCUGAGACUAUUUUUCUUUGUCUAAAGUCCCACUUUCUAACUUCUUGAAAGGGAAGGUGGAGCUCUGGGGGUUGUGACAUGACGAUGUUAUGUUAAGGAAAUGGAAGUUUGCUUUAUUGUUCACGUUCAAAGACGUGGCUGCUAGAGAAGGCUUUGCUACCAGACAGAGCAUUGCCUCCACCCACACCAGCAUGGAUCUCUGCCUUCUCCAUCCUCACCAACAGGUUUAAAACACAGCAUAGAGGGGGGGGGGGGGAAAGCUAUUCGCUUUUGCCAAAUCGCAGAUGUCAAAUUUAACACACGUGGGAAGAAAAAAUAAAAAGGAGAAAUGAGUGGUAUUUCC
ensembl:lncRNA